rnacentral:lncRNA from 1 species
UUCGGCAGAAGAUUCUUUCUUGAGGGGCAAGUUGAGACGAGGAGGAGAUAGGUGCGUUUUGGGACGUGUUGCUGUGGAGAUAUUUUGAGGGUGAGUUUCUUUCUUGGCCGCAAGAGAGCCAGACGGGGAGGGGAGAUUCUUUCUGGAAGGACAAGCUAGAGCUUAGAGAGGGAAGAUGCAGACUGGUUUCCUGGAGAUAGCUGAGAGGGAAAACAAGAAGAGAGGUGAGAGUUUGCAGCUUGCUGGGAACCAAGUGAUUUUGCUAAAAGGGUGACAUUCGGGUUUGAUCAUCUCCCGCUUUAGGUUUUUCACUUUUACAAUCAUACUUUACUCAUUGCUGAGGUUUGAAUGCUUGUUUUUUUUUACUACCUAAGAUGUUAAGCUUGUUUUUCAUUUCUGUUUGCCUGAUCUCUGUUUCUUCCCCCAUGAGUUGUAUGAUGAUUGUGUUAUCUGUUUGCAUUUUGAGACCAUUCAAACUUUCCCACCAGGUUUUUUUCUUAGCUUUUUUAUUUUCAUGAAAUGGAGUUGGGUUUAAUGGUAUUAUCCUCCCUUAUGCAUGCUCUGUUUUACUUCAUGGUGUCCUCUGUUUCUGGUUCUUCUUGGGUGAUUAGAUACCAUGUUUUGGGUUAAUUGUUUGAAUGAGGCUGUAUCUGAGAAGACUCAACGUCAGAGUUUUGGGAGAUAUUGUCAUGUUUGUGUGUUAGGUGAGUUGAAGGUUAUCCAGCAAGUAUGGCAUGAAGAAGAUCAGUUCUUAACAGGAUGUGAUGUUGCUUAUCUUGAUGGAGAAGACGAAAAUAACAUAGUCCAGUGAAGAAAUCCAUUCCAAUGUCAUCUCUACUCCGAUCAGAUGUUGAAAGAGGAACCUCUCCAGAUAGAUGAUAGAACGCUUCCUUCUCAAAUGUCAGAAUUCUGGGUAUAGAAGGUACUCCCUGACGUAUGGCCAAGAAAUUGGCGAACAUGCUGCCUUUAAUUCAAGGAAAUGAGAUUCCCCUGACUUCGCAUUAUGAAAGGAUUAAAAGUCUGGUUAGCCAAGUUGAGACAGCUUAUGGAGUUUUAGAGAGAAGCUAAAGAGAGAAAGACUCUGAAGAGACCAGCGUUUGUGUUUUGUGU